UAAGCAGCGCUGGUGCGCACGCUGAGCUCGUGAGCACGCCGAGCUCUUGCGCGCUCGGCCCACGGUAUCCUAGGUGUACGUUCCCCAUCGCUCUCACCUACCCAAGUCUCGGGGCCGCUGGCGUGACGCCGGGGAGAGCUCAGAGCGAGGAGGAGAUGGACUCAGUGGUCUCUGAGGAUGUGGCUGCGGACUUCACCUGGGCAGAGUGGGCUUUGCUAAGUCCUGUUCAGAGGAACUCUACAGAGAUGUGAGGCUUCAAACCUUCAGGAACUUGGCCUCAGCAGAAACAUGUCUCCCUGGUAAAUGCCACGUGAGGAAUGUGGCAGAACUCUACCGUCACUCAUCUUUUCAGACAUGGGAGUGGUCACAAGUGAGCAGAAAACCUAUGAAGGGAAAGAACAUGGCAAGGUUCUUACUUAUUGCUGUGUCCUUAGAAGACCCGUGACUGCUCAUAAUGGAAUAAAGUCUUGGGAAUAUAAGGAAUGCGGGAAAGGCUCUCGUCAUCAUUACACGAUAUAUAAAAGCACUCACCUUGUAAGUGUGAGACGUGGGAGAACCUUUAUUCCUUCCUCACACCCAGCAGCACAGUUAUGGUGGAAUAGCGUCCGCUUACUGACUGCAGUGAGUCCACGAGGAGCCGUAUGUUCGCUCACGUGGACGGUGUGAGAGACCUGAUCAGGGGAUCUCGCCCCGUGUCCGCCAGGUUUGUGGAAGGAGCAAGGAAGCAGGAUUUGUGGA